rnacentral:rRNA from 1 species
CCUACGGGAGGCAGCAGUGAGGAAUAUUGGUCAAUGGGCGCGAGCCUGAACCAGCCAAGUAGCGUGAAGGAUGACUGCCCUACGGGUUGUAAACUUCUUUUAUAAAGGAAUAAAGUGAGGCACGUGUGCCUUUUUGUCUGUACUUUAUGAAUAAGGAUCGGCUAACUCCGUGCCAGCAGCCGCGGUAAUACGGAGGAUCCGAUCGUUAUCCGGAUUUAUUGGGUUGAAAGGGAGCGUAGAUGGGUUGUUAAGUCAGUUGUGAAAGUUUGCGGGUCAACCGUAAGAUUGCAAUUGAUACUGGCAGCCUUGAGUACAGUUGAGGUAGGCGGAAUUCGUGGUGUAGCGGUGAAAUGCUUAGAUAUCACGAAGAAAUCCGAUUGCGAAGGCAGCUUACUAAACUGCCACUGACAUUGAUGCUCGAAAGUGUGGGUAUCAAACAGGAUUAGAGACCCCUGUAGUC